AUUAGCAAUGAAUUUUGUUGAUGGUCCCUCACCUCAUUGUUUCCUCACGGUGCUGUAUGAGAACAUGUGGUAGUUAUCAUUAGAAAACAGCGGGUAUGUAGUUUGUCUGCUACGACUCUAAAGUCGUAGAAUGGUGAAGUCCCACCAGCUGCAAAAUGUGUCAAGUCGCAUCAUUUGUGUUUUUUUUCUUUAUUGAACCAGAGAAAAGUGGCAAAUUACAAUUUCUUUUUUGAAUUACUCAAAUUUUCCCAAUUUUGUUUGUUUUCCUGCUUUGUAAUCUUCAGAAUUAUGGGUCCUAGAAAAAAAAAGAAAAAAAAAGAAAUAUAGAUCCAUGCUACUAAAAAUGAGAAAAAAAUUACAAAUUUUCUCCGUCAUAAAUAAUUUGGUAAUUACUCUUUAAAUUUCUCUCUUACCCUAUGAUUAACAACCGUGUUAAUUUUUCUUCAAAAUGUUUAAGCCCAAAAUAACAGCAUUCACACUAGCAAAAAAAAAACCCCAUAAAAACAUGUUGAAAAUAAUUGCCUACAAUGUUCACUUUCAGUUAAAGUGUGUGUUUGAUAAAGUGGACGGCACAGAACAUCUGGGUUGGUGCAUGUAACGAUGCAGUGAUUAGUGUGGCUCCGUGAACGGUUCAGGUUCACGGCUUUUCCUCCACAAUUCUCCUGGUUUCCUGUCACUAUUGGAAAAAACAUGCAUGUUGUUAUGUUAAUGGUCACGUCGUAUGUAUGUAGGUGUGAACAGUGUGUCUGUCAUUAGGCUUCACACCGUCAGCCUGGCUGUAGUCACUCACUGAGACAGGGUUUGUUUUUCAACCUCAGUUUAAAAAAAAUCUUUAUGGAUUGUUUCACGGUAUUUGACAAGGAUGUUAAUCAUUUUGAUGAAACGCCCUUACAAUCUGUUAGAAAUACAUUGAAUUUGACUUAGCAUUUAAAAAUAUCACAUUUAAAUUAGAUUAGGUUAAAGGGGCAAAUGAAAGGAAAUGUAAAGUAAAACCAGGCUUUAGGUUUAAGUAGAGCUGCCGGUGAAUGAUGUUAUUUUUCAUUAAUGCAAAUGUUGUUGGAUUCCACCCACAGGCCGUCCCUCAGUAAAGAUGCAUUUGUACCCACAGUCACUGCACACCAUCACAGAGUGUGACUUGUUUCUGUUGGCUGGACCUGCCUUCAGCUCAGGUGUCGGUGUUGCCAAGAUCUGCCUGCCUGCUGAGAACAGUCUGCCCAGAGCGGAAACCCACAAAGCUGAAGUGGAAACCAGUGGUGUGAUACCUCCGUUGUGUAGCUGCUGAGUGAGAACCUGAUGGUGAGAACUACUCCCCGAGGAGACGCCAAGGACUGUUCCAUUAUCAUCUAAAAUCUUCAUCAUCUUCAUCUUCUACCGUCUUGUUCUGUGGGGGCGAAGCCAAGGAGCCAAUCACAGCAGUCAUCAGGUGAGAGAGUCCAUCACAUAUACAGUAGAUGGAUGGAAACAAACACACUCACACUCACAUUUACAGCACAGUCAGUUGCAAACCCAACAAACAGAAAGAUCAUCAAGUUACCGCCUGAGGUCAGAGGUCAGACUGCGUUAAACAUGGACAUGACAAAUGUAGCUCUGGGCUGCAUACCUAUUGGUUAUUUUUGUUUGAAGGGUCAACAGUUUACUUUGCAUUAGAAGUGUAGCACCAUCUACUGUCAGCUUACAUCUGCAAACAAUGUCCUUGUUCAUGAGAAAUAGCAACAUCGUCUUCAGUGAAGCCAUACAACUGCCGGAUUAUAAGAGAAAAAAAGCAAAAACAAAACUCGACAAUUUGACGUUCCUGUCUUGGAGCUACACAAAUGCUUUAAAUGUUCUUUAUUUAUUAAAGAAAAAAAAA